GAUGAACGCUGGCGGCGUGCCUAAUACAUGCAAGUCGAGCGAACGGACGAGAAGCUUGCUUCUCUGAUGUUAGCGGCGGACGGGUGAGUAACACGUGGAUAACCUACCUAUAAGACUGGGAUAACUUCGGGAAACCGGAGCUAAUACCGGAUAAUAUUUUGAACCGCAUGGUUCAAAAGUGAAAGACGGUCUUGCUGUCACUUAUAGAUGGAUCCGCGCUGCAUUAGCUAGUUGGUAAGGUAACGGCUUACCAAGGCAACGAUGCAUAGCCGACCUGAGAGGGUGAUCGGCCACACUGGAACUGAGACACGGUCCAGACUCCUACGGGAGGCAGCAGUAGGGAAUCUUCCGCAAUGGGCGAAAGCCUGACGGAGCGACGCCGCGUGAGUGAUGAAGGUCUUCGGAUCGUAAAACUCUGUUAUUAGGGAAGAACAUAUGUGUAAGUAACUGUGCACAUCUUGACGGUACCUAAUCAGAAAGCCACGGCUAACUACGUGCCAGCAGCCGCGGUAAUACGUAGGUGGCAAGCGUUAUCCGGAAUUAUUGGGCGUAAAGCGCGCGUAGGCGGUUUUUUAAGUCUGAUGUGAAAGCCCACGGCUCAACCGUGGAGGGUCAUUGGAAACUGGAAAACUUGAGUGCAGAAGAGGAAAGUGGAAUUCCAUGUGUAGCGGUGAAAUGCGCAGAGAUAUGGAGGAACACCAGUGGCGAAGGCGACUUUCUGGUCUGUAACUGACGCUGAUGUGCGAAAGCGUGGGGAUCAAACAGGAUUGGAUACCCUGGUAGUCCACGCCGUAAACGAUGAGUGCUAAGUGUUAGGGGGUUUCCGCCCCUUAGUGCUGCAGCUAACGCAUUAAGCACUCCGCCUGGGGAGUACGACCGCAAGGUUGAAACUCAAAGGAAUUGACGGGGACCCGCACAAGCGGUGGAGCAUGUGGUUUAAUUCGAAGCAACGCGAAGAACCUUACCAAAUCUUGACAUCCUUUGACAACUCUAGAGAUAGAGCCUUCCCCUUCGGGGGACAAAGUGACAGGUGGUGCAUGGUUGUCGUCAGCUCGUGUCGUGAGAUGUUGGGUUAAGUCCCGCAACGAGCGCAACCCUUAAGCUUAGUUGCCAUCAUUAAGUUGGGCACUCUAAGUUGACUGCCGGUGACAAACCGGAGGAAGGUGGGGAUGACCUCAAAUCAUCAUGCCCCUUAUGAUUUGGGCUACACACGUGCUACAAUGGAAAAUACAAAGGGCUGCGAAGCCGCGAGGUCAAGCAAAUCCCAUAAAGUUGUUCUCAUUUCGGAUUGUAGUCUGCAGCUCGACCACAUGAAGCUGGAAUCGCUAGUAAUCGUAGAUCAGCAUGCUGCGGUGAAAACGUUCCCGGGUCU
rnacentral:rRNA from 1 species